CCUCAAAUCAGGUAGGACUACCCGCUGAACUUAAGCAUAUCAAUAAGCGGAGGAAAAGAGACUAACAAGGAUUCCCCUAGUAACGGCGAGUGAAGCGGGAAGAGCUCAAAUUUGAAAUCUGGUGGCCUCAGGCUAUCCGAGUUGUAAUCUAUAGAAACAUUUUCCGCGUUGGCCCAUGUACAAGUCUCUUGGAAUAGAGCGUCAUAGAGGGUGAGAAUCCCGUCCUUGACAUGGACUACCAGUGCUUUGUGAUAUGUUUUCAACGAGUCGAGUUGUUUGGGAAUGCAGCUCAAAAUGGGUGGUAAAUUCCAUCUAAAGCUAAAUAUUGGCGAGAGACCGAUAGCGAACAAGUACCGUGAGGGAAAGAUGAAAAGCACUUUGGAAAGAGAGUUAAACAAUAUGUGAAAUUGUUGAAAGGGAAACGAUUGAAGUCAGUCGUGUCUAUUGGACUCAGCCGGUUCUGCCGGUGUACUUCCUUUAGAUGGGGUCAACAUCAGUUUUGAUCGCUGGAAAAGGGCAGGAGGAAUGUAGCACUCUCGGGUGAACUUAUAGCCUUCUGUCGCAUACAGUGGUUGGGACUGAGGAACGCAGCUUGCCUUUAUGGCCGGGAUUUAUCCACGUACAAGCUUAGGAUGUUGACAUAAU
rnacentral:rRNA from 1 species